rnacentral:lncRNA from 1 species
GCUCUGUGUUCUGGGUCCCACCCAGACUCCACUCCUUCUUUACCCUUAGCCACCCCUCCCCCAGUGCUUUGCCCCAGGCAGUCCUAUGAGCCACAGCUGGGAACCCCCUCCUUCCCCUCAUCCCUGCCUUUCCUGGCCAAGACCCACACAUCCUUCAGGCCUCAGCUCAGAUAUCCUCCUGCUUCUGUGAUGGGUCCAGGCCUCCUUGGGCUGUCACAGCAGCAUGUGCUGCCCCAUCCUAAUACACAUCACACCAUAGUGAAACAGGCUGCUUAGAUGUCCACUUCCCCACUGGACCUCGGGCUCCAUGGUGGAAGGCAUGCUGCCUGUCUUGUUCAUCACUCCAUCCCAAGCACCUAGUAUAGGAGAGGCUCAGGAAAGAUUUUUUGGAUGGAUGAAGGACUGCAGAAGCUGUCCAGGCUGCAAAGUGCUGGACGCCCGGGAUUUGUCUCCAAGAGAGCUGGCGAGAAGGUAGAGGGGAGUUCCCCUCAAGGGACCAGAGUCCUAGAAUUUAGAAUCCCAGAACAUCAGAGCUUGAAGGGACAUCAGAGGCCAGCUAAUAAUCCACUUUCUGAUUUACAAAUGAGAAACCUAAGGGAAGGAGCCACUGGCUGGACAAGGAUGGGUGGGAGGAGGAAGAGAUGGUAGCUGCAGAGAGCCUGCAGGUUGCGGUGCCGGUGAGGAGGGACAGGAGUGAGGCUUCUGUGAGGACCUCAGGAGGAAGACCGACUCUCUGCCAUCUCUCAAUCUCUCGGCCCUUCUGGGUCUAGCUCUCAAAGCCCUUGGAGUCGCUGGAAGCCUGCACCGGGGAUCUGACUUUGGAAAGGGGCACAGAGCCCCCAGCACACUUGUCUCCCUGACAGAGUCCACGAAGGCGACCCCCCCUCCGCCCCCGCCCUCGACCCCGCUCAGUGCUUGGCGAGACUUGGGGAGGCCGCAGAGCCCAAGAGUGACCACAAGGUGGC